rnacentral:rRNA from 1 species
UACAGAGGGUGCAAGCGUUAUCCGGAUUUACUGGGUUUAAAGGGUGCGUAGGCGGGCCCUUAAGUCAGUGGUGAAAGCUCCGAGCUUAACUCGGAAACUGCCAUUGAUACUAUAGGUCUUGAAUUCGGUCGAGGUUGGCGGAAUGUGUCGUGUAGCGGUGAAAUGCUUAGAUAUGACACAGAACACCGAUUGCGAAGGCAGCUAGCUAGACCGACAUUGACGCUGAGGCACGAAAGCGUGGGGAUCAAACAGG